CCUACGGGGGACAGCAGUGGGGAAUAUUGCGCAAUGGGCGAAAGCCUGACGCAGCGACGCCGCGUGAGGGAUGAAGGUCUUCGGAUCGUAAACCUCUGUCAGCAGGGAAGAACGGUCACUGUGCUAAUCAGCAGUGAAUUGACGGUACCUGCAAAGGAAGCACCGGCGAACUCCGUGCCAGCAGCCGCGGUACUACGGAGGGUGCGAGCGUUAAUCGGAAUUACUGGGCGUAAAGCGCUCGUAGGCGGUAUGUCAAGUCAAGGGUGAAAUCCCCGCGCUCAACGUGGGAACUGCCGUUGAAACUGGCAAACUGGAGUGUGUGAGAGGAUAGUGGAAUUCCAGGUGUAGGAGUGAAAGCCGUAGAUAUCUGGAGGAACAUCAGUGGCGAAGGCGACUAUCUGGCACAUAACUGACGCUGAGGAGCGAAAGCGUGGGUAGCAAACAGGAUUAGAUACCCGGGUAGUC
rnacentral:rRNA from 1 species